CAGCAAAUAUUUAGACGAACGUUAAAGCGAUCUGAGAAACUCUCUCUCUUUCUCUCUCAAACCUUUUCUUGUUGUUCUUCAUUUUCUCUCUUAAAAAACAACAAAAAAUGUGUAAUUGAAUAAAGUUGAACACAUUGAUGAAACAUUAAUGAAUCAAUGAACAAGAAAACAAGUAUGGAACCAGAAAGAUCAAAAUCACUACACAACUUUUCAUUACCAUGUUUGAAAUGGGGAACACAACGCUUACUCAGAUGUGUUAACAAUCACAAUCAACAAUCUUCAAAACUCAAUUCACCCCAAAACAACAACAACCCAAUUCCUCAAACCGACGAAACUGUUAACGCCGUUCGUGAAAGAAUCAUUGGGGAUCUUAAAGUUGCUGCAAAAAAGCUUAAAGUUUCAAUUUUUGAAGAAAAUAAUGGUGAUGAUGAUGGUUCUAAUAUUAGGCCUUGGAAUUUGAGAACAAGAAGAGCUGCGUGUAAAGCACCGAUUGGGGAUGAAGGGAGAAGGUUUUUUGAUGUUGGCUCAUCUUCACCUUCCUCUCUUGUCAAGAACAAAAAAAUGGUUAUGCUUGAUGAUAAAGUUAAAUUUUCUGUUUCUCUUUCUAAGGAAGAGGUGGAACAAGAUUUUUGGGCUUUGGUUGGUACUAGACCACCCAGAAGGCCCAAAAAGAGGCCCAGGAUUGUUCAGAGACAAUUGAAUACACUACUUCCUGGAAUGUGGCUGGCAGAGGUAACUGCAGACUCAUACAAAGUUUCUGAAGUUCCUGAAUGAGGAGCUGAAAUGAAUGACAAAAAUGGAUUCUGGAUGUCCCAAAUCUUUUGCUUGGCGAUUUCCUUCAACAUUGUCAAAUAAAUAAUGUAAGCAAUGAAGUACACUGAACACGGCAUUGACACUAAUAGUAAUUUGAACAAUGGACGAAAUUGAAUUUUAUUACGUGUGUUGGUGUUGAUCACUGACACAUGUCGGACACACCCUCAAUCUGAAGUGUCUGUGCUAUAGAUGUAGUGAUGUAGUAAGUCUUUGGUGUUCCACAAAAUCGAAGGCGUCAAGUUGUUGGUCAUCCACCAUGCAACAAACAUGUUAUUUUUUUAGUAGAAUUGCGAUAAACUUUAUUGAGUUCUUUCUUGUAGGCAUUCUAUAACUAGACUUCAUAAAGCUCAGAUUUCUUGUACUCCACUAUUAAUAUGGUAUUAUGAUGAAUGAAUUAUUAAAACGUACAGAAAUGUAAUGGUAUAAUAAGCAAACAAAAUGCAGGAUAAAACUUGAGUCUUGUUCUUUAGGUUUUGUUUCUGUUGUUCACCAAUUAUAACAUGUGAUAUAGAUUAAAUUUUUCAGUUAAAUUUAAAAUGGUUCUGUUUUAUUUUAUUCGAUACAUACAUAGUCCGCAUGUUGAAUUAUGAUUGAAGAACAGUAAAAACAACACAAAAGAAACUGCACUAUGAUUUGGUUGACUUUGUUACUUGCAAUAAGUUCCCAGUUAAAGAUUGACAGUGUCAUAUCAAACUUGUCCACUUGUGCAACUAAAUUUUCCAUUCUGUAUAUGUUUGGAAGGGCGAUGAGUUUGACAAAAU